GAAAAUCGCGAACCGUUACUGCCUGGACUACUCCGUCUCUUGUUUGUUUGUUUGCUCAUUAACAGUAAGAGGUCAUCAUGUACACUGUGGUCAACUUUGUGGACGAUGAAGAGGUUUCUGGGUAAAGCUGAUAGAAAUAUAAUGAAGUAACAGUGAAAGCUAAAACAUCAGACUGAUCCAGACACUGAAGAAAUUGAUGUCACUGCAAUCUGGCCAAAAUGAUACAACUAUAUUGAAGUAGCCUACUGUAAUGAAGCUGCAGAACAACACAGAGACUCUGAGGACAUCAACACAGAAAAUUAAGGCUCCAAAGAGAUGUCUGUCCAGAUGAGGGUGCAUCAACGUUACCUUUGCUGACAAGUAUAUGCUUUACAAUGUAAAACCUAACAGUUAACUUAACUCAAACCAUUUAAGGAAAUCGGUUGCCUUAACCCAUUAAGUUUAAAAAAAAAACAUACAUUUGAGUACUGUGAACUUAAGUCUUGUGCAAUAAUGCACUUAUAUUUAGUUAGUGUGAACUUAAAUAUAAGUGCAUAACUGCAUGUGACUCAAUUUGUUUAAGUUCACAGUACUCAAAUCUAUGUGUUUUAAAACUUAAAUGGUUUAAUGCAACCGGUUUUCUUAAAUGGUUUGAGUUUAGUUAACUUUUAGGUUUUACAGUGAGAAAUUCUUGAAUAAUUCCAAGACAGAGCUCUGCAAUUGUAUCUACACUGCAAAAAAAUCAGUUUCUAACUUAGGAUUUUUAUCUUGUUUUUAGUAGAAAAACUAAAAAUUCUUAAAUCAAGAUGUAUUUUCUUGAUGAGCAAAAUUACCUAAGAAAAUGUCUAGUUUUUAGACAAAAAUAUACAAUUUAAGUAAAUUUGUGCCUAAACAAGCAAAAAUAUCUAACAAUGGGGUGAGAAAAUUGUGCUUGAAUUAAGUUUUUAAGAAAAAAGAAAACUUAAGAUUUUUUCUCACACCAUUGGCAGAUAUUUUUGCUUGUUUUAAGCACAAAUUCACUUAAAUUGUGUGCAUUUAUUUAUUUUGUCUAAAACUAGACUUAUUUUCUUAGGUCAUUUUGUUCAUCAAGAAAAAGCAUUUUAUUUAAAUAAUAUUUCUACUGAAAACGAGACAAAAAUACUAUGUAAGAAAGUCAUUAUUUUGCAGUGUAGGACUGAUUUCUUGAACAACAACUAUAUUGAUCUUGCUUUAUUUUAUUUAAAUAUUUACUACAUUACAGUGGCAGGUGGUGACUUCUUUUUUUGUGAGCACUCGAUGCAAAGUUUGUCACAACAUGUAUAUAGCCAGUCAUUUGUGUGGUUCAAAAUAUGUGUUCUGCGUGUAUGUGCAUCACGUGUUUUGACUAAACCCGUGAUGCACAUGGUUUACAUGAAGCAACAAACACAUUUUAAAAACACAAGCAACACACAUGACACUCCGAACACUUAUUUUGAAUUUGCAACCCUCGGAUGAGCAGUCACGAGCCGCCACUGCUACAUUACAUUGUACUGCUUUGAAUGUAAUUUUUAUUGUUGCUUUUAUUUUGUUUUAUUUUACUCUAAUAUUGCUUUCUCUGUCUGUAUAUUUAUGAGUUUAAAUAGUAUUGUUUAUGUAUGCAACUUUUAAUAUUUGUGUAUAAUAUUAUUUUGUUAUU